rnacentral:tRNA from 1 species
AGGGACUUUAGUAUAAUGGUUAAUACAUAUGACUUUUAAUCAUUAAAAUAUCGGUUCGAAUCCGGUAGUCCUAA